AGAGAUUUAGGCUUAAUGAAUUAAACCCAGAACCUUCAAAGUUCUAAAAGAAAGUGAAAACCUUUCAAUCCCU
rnacentral:tRNA from 1 species